rnacentral:lncRNA from 1 species
GACAAUAAGGUUUAUUAUUGCCUAGCGGAAGGAUGGGUUGUUAGAUAGACUUUUGCUGAAGCACUAUUAUAUCAAAGCUCUAAUUCUGUUAGGCAAUAGGUCUCUAGUCUGUUAGAGUUGCUGAAUCUUCUACUUAUUCGUUACUGUAUUUUCAAAGACCAAAAUUUCCACCAUAAUAAAAUUGCACACUUUAUACUUAUAGUAAUGCACAAAUCCC